rnacentral:rRNA from 1 species
CCCUUAGAUGUCCGGGGCUGCACGCGCGCUACACUGAAGGAAUCAGCGUGCUAAAACCAUUGUCGAAAGGCAUUGGUAAACCCAUUAAAAUCCUACGUGAUUGGGAUCGGGAAUUGCAAUUAUUUCCCUUGAACGAGGAAUUCCCAGUAAGUGUGGGUCAUAAGAUCGCGUUGAUUACGUCCCUGCCCUUUGUACACACCGCCCGUCGCUGCCCGGGACUGAGCCGUUUCGAGAAAAGCGGGGACUGCUGCUGUCGGGGCUUUCGGGCCUUGGCUUCGGUGGAAACCGCUUUAAUCGCAGUGGCUUGAACCGGGCAAAAGUCGUAACA